UACAUAUUUUUUAUAUUUAUAUUAUUUAUUUAAUUUAUAUUUAUAUAUAAAUAAAUAAUUAUAUAUAUAAUAUAUAUUUUUAUUAUUUAAUUUUUAGCAAAAUAAAAAAUAUAAAGCGAGCUUAAUUAUAAAAAGACUAAUUUAUAAGUAAAGUUUCAAUUAUUAGAUCAAAGUCUAAUAGAUAAAAUUUUAUAAAUUUAUUUUUUAUAUAUAUUCAAUCUAAUCCUUUUAACUUAUUAUUCGUUGGCCAGCUCGUGAGCCAGCUCGUGUUCGGCUCGUUUAUUAACGAGCCGAACAUGAGCUAAAUUUUUCAGCUCGAUAUUUUAACG
rnacentral:lncRNA from 1 species